UGGUGGUGAUUUCCAAUUUGAAGUGUGAACUUAAACCAAAGGUCUUCUAGUCAUCCUGGUUGUUCACAGUCCAGGAGCUCCUGCUCUCAUGUCCCAUGCCCUGCAUUUGAUGGCAUCACAAGGAGUGAGGAUCAGGGAGGUUGAGCCAUCACCUGACUGGUCACAGAAGGCUGGUAUAGGUGCUGUCCUCCCAAGUCUAGCUGCAGUCUACUCACACUGCCUCCUCACUUCAUCACAUCUACCUCUCACCCCAGACUCACCACACUCCAGUUAACCGAAUGACUUUGGCAGCCAAGGUCCAGUCUUUAGGCAGAUAAGGAAACUUCAAAGAACAACUUCAUCCUGUUUUGGGGGCCGGGGAGAACAGAAGAUUGAGAGAUGGGAAUGGGGAAUCAAAAAGACCUUGAGGCUUCUUCAGUUCAGCAUGUCAAUGCACCAUAGUUUGAAGUAUCUGUUUCCGAGCCCCAAUAGCACCUAACAAGAUACCCACGAACAGAGUUCUAUCAUUUAACACCUACUGUGUAUGGAGAGGAGCCAGGGAUACUUGCUUUGAAGGGUAUUCUAGAUGGCAUUGAAUAGCCCUGUGGCAUAAAUAAAGAAUUUACCUUCUCUCUGGGCAACUUCUACAAAACUGGAUCAUUAUUCCUAACACAAAUUUCUCCUGCUAUUAUAUAUGAUCUUCUUUAAUAUUCAAAAGAAUGAAUAACAGAUGUUUCCAGUAAAGAAUAUUGGAGAAGGAUUACCUCAUGAUGACCAUGUGCUAGAUUCCUGUUUAAAAAUCCCUAUUUCCAGACCAUUUCAUAUGGAAAAACCACAUCAACAAGAAAAUUAGUUUCCUCAGAAGAGAGGGUUAUAUCCAACAGGAGACAACGCCAAAGAACUGCAAAGAUGAUAAGAAGGUAGGGAAACCUCUAUUUUGAAACUCUUGAAAUGUAUGUUGGUCAUCACUAUAUAGAGAAAGUAGUUGUCUGGGACACAUGAGUUAAGAGGUAAAUGAAGACUCAUGUCUAAAACUAUCUUUCCCAUCUGCUGAAAAUUCGUUUCACUUCAGUACAGUCCAUGAGACUCAUUCCUUUGAGUUACAAAGUUUUGUCUUAACAAAACACAAAUGCAAAGAGAAGCAAUGUAGUAAAUCCUAGGAAUUAUU
rnacentral:lncRNA from 1 species